UCUUCUUCUCUCUCUUGCCUCACUCACCCACCAAUCAUGUGAAGAUCCUCAAAGAUUGAGGGAAUAUUGAGGCAUCUGAGCUCACCACAAAAACCAAGAAAUCCUCCCCUUUCUCCCUCAAACUUUCGGCCCCCUCCCCCAUUCUCUCCCUCACACUUUUUUCUUCUUGUUCCUCCAUUUUUGACAAAGGACAAUGCUUCCAAGACUUUCCCUUUUCACACCCACCAACUAAAGAAGUGCCUCAAGCCUUUCCAAACUUCAAGUUCAAGCAUCAAGUAGGAAAAGCUUCAAGAAAUCCUAAGCAUCAUCUAUUCCAUUUUCCUUGGUUUUCUUGGAGUUAAGCAGCGGUAGGUGGUGAUGAAGUGACAAGCGGGAUUUCUUUUGUCUUAGUCUUAUGUAUUAAUGAACUCUUGGGGGUACAUGUCUUCAUACAUGUAAUCAGAACCCCUUAUUCCGCUGUGUACUCAUAAAUCUUAUGUUAUUUUGGCUAAGUCGGAGCUAUUCGAACUUACUAGCUUA